rnacentral:lncRNA from 1 species
GAACACCACUAGCAUCAAGCCUUUAUUAGCUAGGGGAAAGCUUUUCGGGAGAGAUCUGAAGUUUUGGAGAGAAGGAAGUAUGAGUAUUAUUGCCAAAGUAGUUUCAGUGUUUCACUAUUUAAGCUUGCAUGUAUGGUUGAGGACUUGGGCCUUAAAUGGCUCCACAUUAUUUGAUUAUAGGGGAGUGGUGGGUCUAGUGGGGGGCAUGUCUACACAUUUGAGAAAGAUUGCCAUUCCAGUCCUCUUAUAGACCAUCUCAUCCUUUAGAUAUGAGUAGAGCUGGAGUAUAUUUGUGCUAAUCCAAACCAAACAAUGAAAUUACUUUGCCAUGAAAAAAGAUGCAUGAUAUGGUCUUUGCUUACCACAAGAUGAGGCUCAAACUCAAGUAUAUUAGAUAGGGGAUUAAGAAGAAGUAAGAUGAACCUUUGGAGGAUGACUUUGUCCAGGACAUGGAGGAUCCUACGCUUAGUAGGUUGAAGAUCAAGAAGCUCGAGACAUGCUAGUGUUGGAUGAGCUAGGAGAUCCUCCACGACAAGUGGCAGAGAAGCACUUAUAUUUGAGUCAUUAUGAUACCCCAUAAGCUAGAAGGACCAACUAGGGCAUUAGGACUAGCUAGGAAGCAAGGGCAUGUUAGUAAGUGGAGGUAAGUUGAGCCUCUAAAGGGAGUCAGAGGUGGGGGUGGAAGGACAUUAAGAUCAAAGGAAAAGAAGCCAGUCAAUUUGGUGGAUGCUGCAGAUAAUGAAUAGGUCUAGGACAAGGAUAGUGCUUGUAGCACAAAUCAUCACUGGCUUGCACAGAUCAUCUUGUGAUGCUAGCGACAAUGAUAAUGAUAACUUGACUGAUGACAGGUCUAGUAAUCGGGGUCUUGUGAUGCUAGUGACAAUGAUAAUGAUAACUUGACUGAUGACAGGUCUAGUGAUCAGGGUGGUCAUGGUGAUUAAGGUGGCCAAAGUGGAGGCUUCAAUGGUCUAGAGGGGCUCAUCCAUUCACCCCUAAGACAGGUUUCACCCAUGCCAAGCAAGAUCAUGACCACGAAGUUAGAUUAAGAACGAGAUAUGAAAAAAGUUGUCAAAUAUGAGAGGUAUAGAGUUAUUGCAAGACACGACAUACUGGCUUAUGAGAUGGCUAAAUUCAAACAUUUUUGUUGGAUAUGUGUUAAAUUGAAACCUCGAUCAUUAAUAAAUUUCAAUGGCACACUUACAUUUUAUCUAUCCAACGAGAUUAAAGAUAAUUAUAUAAAUAUGUUAGUAAUGUAUAUGAAACAUGAAUAUGAAUUAUUUAUUAUCUAUUUAUUUAUAUAUUGAACCUGGUCAAAUUAAGUUGGGUUAGGUAGGGUUAGGUUCGGGUUGAGUUUGGUUCAAGUUUGGAUUGAGUCCAAGCCCAACUGAUGUUUACAAAACCUCCUUGCAACCCUACUUGAAUUGAAUGAGCUGGUUCGGGUUGAGCCCAACCAAAGUUGUAGUAAUCUACGUGGCUCUGGGUCUGAUCGGCAUCAUCACUAUAUGCCAGAGCCUGAUACAUAGAACAUCAACUCAGAGAUGAGAUGAUCCUUCAACUAUUCAACAUAUGAUCCACAUGCAUACCACUUAACUGCUAUAAUCAAGAGCAUGUAAGGGUGCGGAUGUCCUUGUAGGGAAGUCGAUAUUUUAGAAAUGCUUUUAGUAAGAAAAUACUUUAGAAGUGGAUGCUCAGGUUUGAGAUUUUGAGAAGAUUCUCAAAUAGGUGCAUUGUCCUAGGUAGAACAUUUUGAUCACUAAAGUAUCCCCAAAUCAUCAUAUCCUAAGGGGUAAUCUCUUGCAUAGUUUUGCCCUUCCUAUGGGAGCUACAUUUUGGAGUCAUGGUAAAGUUUAUCAGGAGGGUUAUUUGGGACAAUAUUAGUCAUAGUUUCACAAAUGGCAACAUAUCUAGGACCAUAUCCAAGGCCUUGAUUGUGUCUGAACAUGAUUCGGAUAAAUAUGAGACUUACAAACACUCCACUUGUGAUUAGAAGUGAGUUGGAUGUUAUUUUACUUUAACUCAUCAUCUAUUACACAUCAUAUGAUUAAUAAGUGACAAGUGAUGUUUCACUUUUUAUUGGUAACUAUUAUAUGUUAGUCAAACCAUGGGUGACUCGACCAGACCAUUCCAAGAGUCAGGAUGGGAGCAUCCCAAUACUGUAUUGAGCUAGCACCACACCACCAUGGUGGUUAGUACUUAGUACCAAGAUUUAAACCCUUGAUUCAAUAUCGUUCCUUAAGGAACAAGUUUAUUAAAAAUUUACAAAUUCUAAGUAUAUAUCUUUUAUUUUUCCCAGAGAGAUGCAUACGUACUAUGAUAGGAGUAAUAAAUUUCUUCCCUCAUAAAAGAAACAUAUUUUCUCUAGUACAUAAUUGUUUAACAUUAGUAAGUACAUUAAUGUAGCUUUUCAAGUUUAUCAUAUGUACUAUGAUAGGAGAGUAAUAAAUUUCUUUUGUCUCAAAAAAUAAACAUAUUUUCUCUAUACAUAAUUGUUUAACAUUUGUCAGUACAUUAAUGAAGCUUUUCAUGUUUAUCAUAUCACUUAAGAGUAGUUUGCUCUGUGAUUCUUUGAUACAAUAUAUGUAGUAAAGAUAAAAAAGUUAAAUUUCUAAAACAUCUAGAUUUAUUGCAGUUUGUGCAGCUCCAAAUGUCAAUAAUAAAUCUCAAUUAGAAAAAUAAAGUCCAGACCCUUUAAUUGGAGUAUAAAGAUCUUCAUUUUAGAUAAUUGGUGACAUCCUUUAUAUCUGAACUUUCUAUAGAAAAAAAUAUAGAAAUCUAGAUUGCUCUACACAUUUUUUAUUGUAUGCUAACACCUAAUCCCUCUAAAUAUAUGCAAAAAAAGUGUAUAUAAACAUCAUCGCUAAGAUAAUAACUCUUCACGACAAUUAAAAUGACAUCCCUAUUUACCCAUCUAAUUUAUGCACUGCAUCCUCUAACAAUUUGAAUGCGUAUAAGCUAAGCUAAGUAAAUCCAAAGUAGAUGAAGAUAAAUGAACAUAUGAGUUCUCAACCAAUAUAUAUCUUAAACAUAUACUUGCAUAUAUAUUGAUCAAAAGAUCCCCUGUCCUAAUAUAUCUUAAUUUUGCAAAUAUGUAACAUACCAAAUGGCAUGCUUGCAUUUCAACUGCAAGCAUACCUAAUGGCAUGCUUGCAUUUCAACUGCAUUCUCAAUACAUUUCUAUAUAUUUUCUAUUAGACUGAUCUAGUUCUAUAAAAAUUAAAAACUUAUUAAUUUGUAUUUGUUCUACUUUAGUAAUCCAAAACUCUAGUCAUUAAGGUCAUGACAAGUUAAAAAUCAUAAAGAAAGCGGUCUUCAAGUCAUGAAUGGGCAUUAACUAACUAAUUGAAUAAAACAUUAAUAUGAUUUCUUUUCCUUAUAAUCAAGAAUUCAACUACAUGAGUGUACUGUCCCAAGCCGCAACUGUUGGGCUGGAAGAUUCUAGAGACAAAGUUUAUACGUCAUCUGUUAUAUGGUAACCAGACCUAUUAUUAUUAUUGUUGUUGUUAUUAUUUUUGGUAUAUGUAAGUGGACCCAGUUGUCACAUUUGAUCUGGAAUUAGGAAGUAGAUCUGAAUCAAAGUACACUAAUGUAGUAACAAAUAAUAAAAUUACAUUACAUUUUAACUUGUAAGAAUGGAUAACUUAUUAAAAAAAAUCUAGAACGAUACAUACGGGC